rnacentral:pre_miRNA from 13 species
UGAGUUACCUCAACCGUUCUGUUACUAAGUACUAGUGCCGCAGGAGUGCACUUGAUCUCCUGCUGCUCAAGUGCUUAUCAAUGGGCAUUGAAAUCCGUCAC